UAACUGACGCUGAGGCUCGAAAGUGUGGGGAGCAAACAGGAUUAGAUACCCUGGUAGUCCGCGCGGUAAACGAUGAACACUCGGGAUUUGCCCCUUGUGGGUGAGUCCCCCAGCGAAAGCGUUAAGUGUUCCACCUGGGGAGUACGCCGGCAACGGUGAAACUCAAAGGAAUUGACGGGGGCCCGCACAAGCGGAGGAACAUGUGGUUUAAUUCGAUGAUACGCGAGGAACCUUACCCGGGCUUGAAAUGUGCAUGACGGGAGGCAGAGACGCCUCCUUCCUUCGGGCAUGCAUGUAGGUGCUGCAUGGUUGUCGUCAGCUCGUGCCGUGAGGUGUCGGCUCAAGUGCCAUAACGAGCGCAACCCCUUCCGCCGGUUACCAUCGGGUGAUGCCGGGGACUCCGGCGGCACUGCCGCCGCAAGGCGUGAGGAAGGCGGGGAUGACGUCAAAUCAGCACGGCCCUUACGUCCGGGGCCACACACGUGUUACAAUGGGGGGCACAGCGAGCUGGAGCAGGGCGACCUGCUUCGAAUCAUGAAAUCCCCUCCCAGUUCGGACCGGAGUCUGCAACCCGACUCCGCGAAGCCGGAUUCGCUAGUAA
rnacentral:rRNA from 1 species